GAUGAACGCUGGCGGCGUGCUUAACACAUGCAAGUCGAACGGAAAGGCCCAAGCUUGCUUGGGUACUCGAGUGGCGAACGGGUGAGUAACACGUGGGUGAUCUGCCCUGCACUUCGGGAUAAGCCUGGGAAACUGGGUCUAAUACUGGAUAGGACCACUUCUUGGAUGUUGUGGUGGAAAGUUUUUUCGGUGUGGGAUGAGCUCGCGGCCUAUCAGCUUGUUGGUGGGGUAAUGGCCUACCAAGGCGUCGACGGGUAGCCGGCCUGAGAGGGUGUACGGCCACAGUGGGACUGAGAUACGGCCCAGACUCCGACGGGAGGCAGCAGGGGGGAAUAUUGCACAAUGGGCGCAAGCCUGAUGCAGCGACGCCGCGUGGGGGAUGACGGCCUUCGGGUUGUAAACUCCUUUCGCUAGGGACGAAGCGUUUUGUGACGGUACCUGGAGAAGAAGCACCGGCUAACUACGUG
rnacentral:rRNA from 1 species